CAGGGUCUGAAAAAGGAGUAUUUCACUGGGUCUUUGUCCUUGCAGCCAUGACCUCAGCACUAGAUGAUUUGCUUACAAUAUCUCUUGUGGGGAUUAAUCUGCAAAGAGACCUACCUAUGUGUCUCACAGAUCACUUACCCGAGACUGAGAGCUCUCACUUGAGCUGGAGAUUACUUACUUAAGAUUACAUGUACUCACAAAACACAUGUCUCUUCAGUUUAACUGGAUGAAGACAGUCUGUACAUGUUUUAAUGUAUUUUAUUGUGAGUGAGCAGAUAUAGACAUAAUUCAACAUAUUACUCAGAUAGUAUCUGCAUUUAUUUAAGGAACUUAAAGCUGAAUCAUAUAAUAGCCACAUUUAUAACAAAAAUAAAGCAAUAAACCAAUGGGUUCAAAUGAAUAUGUCUUCAAAUUAUUGCUACUGAUAAAGCCCAGCACGGCCAGGGGAUUGUCCCGCCCUGCUCUGCUCUGGGAAGGCCUCACCUCCAGUGCUGGGAGGAGUUUUGGGUGCCACAGUGUAAGAAAGAUAUAAAGCUGUUAGAGAGUGUCCAGAGCAGGCCAUGGGGAUGGUGAAGGCUCUGCAGGAAAAGCCGUGUGAGGAGCUGGGGAGGUCGCUUGGCCGUUCUGGCUGCAGGAGAGGAGGCUGAUGGAGGCCUGCUCGCGGCCUGGCACGUCCUCGUGAGGGGAAGAGCAGAGGCAGGUACCCAUCUCUUCACUCCUGACCUGUGAGACGGCUCAGAAACAGCAUGGAGCUGAGCUGGGGCUGGUUCAGCCUGGAUAUCGAGGAAAAGUUCUUCACCCAGAGGGUGUUUGUGCACUGGAACAGGCUCCCCAGGGAGGUGAUCACAGCACCAAGCCUGACACAGUUCAAUAAAUGUUUGGACAAUGCUGUCAGGCAAUGGUGGGAUUUUCUUGGAGUGUCCUGUGCAGGGCCAGCAUUUGGACUCAGUGAUCCUGAUGGGUCUCUUCAAAUCCAGCAUAAUUCAAACCAGUGUCUCAGAGAAAGUGUAACAAGGAAGAUUCAAACAAGAACAAAAGUGGGAUUUUUAACAGCAGAAGCAUUCAGUCACUGCAGCAAUAUAUCCGGGCAGAUGGCUAGAAAGAUAUUUAGGCAUGAAAAGGCAAAAAAGAGAUGGAAUUCAGAAAAAAGCCACCUUUUCUCCUGGUUUGUGUAUCAGGCUUGAUAUUUAAGCCUUUUCUGUCAAGAGGAACCUGCUAGAAAAUAAACUUCUAGAGGAAAUCA
rnacentral:lncRNA from 1 species